CCCGCUGAACUUAAGCAUAUCAAUAAGCGGAGGAAAAGAAACUAACAAGGAUUCCCCUAGUAACUGCGAGUGAAGCGGGAAGAGCUCAAAUUUGAAAUCUGGCGGCUUCGCCGUCCGAGUUGUAUUCUGGAGAAGCGUUUUCCGUGCUGGACCGUGUACAAGUCCCUUGGAACAGGGCGUCGUAGAGGGUGAGAAUCCCGUCUUUGACACGGACUGCCAGUGCUCUGUGAUGCGCUCUCGAAGAGUCGAGUUGUUUGGGAAUGCAGCUCAAAAUGGGUGGUAAAUUCCAUCUAAAGCUAAAUAUUGGCGAGAGACCGAUAGCGAACAAGUACCGUGAGGGAAAGAUGAAAAGAACUUUGAAAAGAGAGUUAAAAAGUACGUGAAAUUGUUGAAAGGGAACCGUUUGAAGCCAGUCUUGCGCUCUGGGACUCAGCCUCGCCUCGUGCCUGGUGCAUUUCCCAGCGGUGCGGGCCAGCGUCGAUUUCAGCCGCCGGAAAAAGGCUGGGGGAAAGUGGCACUCUCCGGAGUGUGUUAUAGCCCUCGGUCAUAUACGGCGGUCGGGAUUGAGAUUAACAGCACGCUUUCAGUGGUGCUUCUGCUGGCGUAAUGGCUUUAAGCGACCCGUCUUGAAACACGG
rnacentral:rRNA from 1 species